CUUUAAGGUACUAACGAUUUACUUUCUGGUCAGCCUUCCUCAAGGUGAAGUUUCAUUAACUAAUUUAUUUGAUGAGUAAAAGAGCUCAGUGGUUGUGCCUGUUGUUGUGGACCAAAACUUAUGGACCGAGGCUAUCUAAAGAUGUGAAAGUGUUUUGAACCCACGAAGCCAACAAAUACCUUUUGAUUGAGGCUUGGGUCUAAUUCUAUAGGCGUUUGUUCCCUCUCAAAAAAACAAAAAAAGAAAAAGCUUGUUCCCUCUCAAAAUAAGGAAAAAAACAAAACAUGAAAGAGAAGUACUAGAAAAGCUAUGCAGAUGUAAGUGGCACUUAUUUAAAAUUUAUGGCAUUUAGGUUUUUGGUGAAGUGGCUGCUAUUGAGAAAAAGAUGAGAUGGGUAUGUGGAAAUACAAGAAUAAACCAUAUAAGGAGUGUGUAUAUUCUCGGGAAGAUGCAAGUGGCCUCCAUUGAGGAAAAGUUCAUAGAAGGCAGAUUGGAUAGUCUGGACGUGCUCUGUAGGCCAGCAAAUGCAUUAGUACAAAAGGUUGAGCAUUGAAGUGGUAGGAGACAAGAAAAAUGGGCCAGAAAGCCUAAGAUAAAAUGGAAAGAAAUAGUGAGAUGGACUUAGUGGCUUGACUUCUUGGAUCUUUCUGAAGAUGUAGCCCUAAGUCUAUGGGUUGGUAAUUUCAAUUUCCAUCUAGUUUGUG
rnacentral:misc_RNA from 1 species